rnacentral:rRNA from 1 species
UCUAGGUGUGAAAGCCCUCUGCCCUCUGAAGCUAAGCAGGGCUGCGCCCGGUCAGUACCUGGAUGGGAGACCAGAUAGGAAAACUAGGUUGCUGCCAGAA